rnacentral:rRNA from 1 species
UACGUAGGGCGCAAGCGUUAUCCGGAAUUAUUGGGCGUAAAGAGCUCGUAGGCGGUUUGUCGCGUCUGCCGUGAAAGUCCGGGGCUCAACUCCGGAUCUGCGGUGGGUACGGGCAGACUAGAGUGAUGUAGGGGAGACUGGAAUUCCUGGUGUAGCGGUGAAAUGCGCAGAUAUCAGGAGGAACACCGAUGGCGAAGGCGGGUCUCUGGGCCGUAACUGACGCUGAGGAGCGAAAGCAUGGGGAGCGAACAGG